UACGGAGGGUGCGAGCGUUGUCCGGAAUCACUGGGCGUAAAGGGCGCGUAGGCGGCAGGCCAAGCGUGCGGUGAAAGUCCGGGGCUCAACCCCGGAUCUGCCGUGCGGACUGGUUUGCUAGAGCACUGUAGAGGCGAGUGGAAUUCCGGGUGUAGCGGUGGAAUGCGUAGAGAUCCGGAAGAACACCGGUGGCGAAGGCGGCUCGCUGGGCAGUGGCUGACGCUGAGGCGCGACAGCGUGGGGGAGCAAACAGG
rnacentral:rRNA from 1 species